AUGACACUCAGCAGGUCUAGUAAACAGCCUGUUACACAGUCACUCAGCAGGUCUAGUAAACAGUCUGUUACACAGUCACUCAGCAGGUCUAGUAAACAGUCUGUUACACAGUCACUCAGCAGGUCUAGUAAACAGUCUGUUACACAGUCACUCAGCAGGUCUAGUAAACAGUCUGUUACACAGUCACUCAGCAGGUCUAGUAAACAGUCUGUUACACAGUCACUCAGCAGGUCUAGUAAACAGCCUGUUACACAGUCACUCAGCAGGUCUAGUAAACAGUCUGUUACACAGUCACUCAGCAGGUCUAGUAAACAGCCUGUUACACAGUCACUCAGCAGGUCUAGUAAACAGUCUGUUACACAGUCACUCAGCAGGUCUAGUAAACAGUCUGUUACACAGUCACUCAGCAGGUGGGCAGCAGGUCUAGUAAACAGCCUGUUACACAGUCACUCAGCAGGUCUAGUAAACAGUCUGUUACACAGUCACUCAGCAGGUCUAGUAAACAGUCUGUUACACAGUCACUCAGCAGGUCUAGUAAACAGUCUGUUACACAGUCACUCAGCAGGUCUAGUAAACAGCCUGUUACACAGUCACUCAGCAGGUCUAGUAAACAGUCUGUUACACAGUCACUCAGCAGGUCUAGUAAACAGCCUGUUACACAGUCACUCAGCAGGUCUAGUAAACAGCCUGUUACACAGUCACUCAGCAGGUCUAGUAAACAGUCUGUUACACAGUCACUCAGCAGGUCUAGUAAACAGUCUGUUACACAGUCACUCAGCAGGUCUAGUAAACAGUCUGUUACACAGUCACUCAGCAGGUCUAGUAAACAGUCUGUUACACAGUCACUCAGCAGGUCUAGUAAACAGCCUGUUACACAGUCACUCAGCAGGUCUAGUAAACAGUCUGUUACACAGUCACUCAGCAGGUCUAGUAAACAGCCUGUUACACAGUCACUCAGCAGGUCUAGUAAACAGCCUGUUACACAGUCACUCAGCAGGUCUAGUAAACAGCCUGUUACACAGUCACUCAGCAGGUCUAGUAAACAGCCUGUUACACAGUCACUCAGCAGGUCUAGUAAACAGCCUGUUACACAGUCACUCAGCAGGUCUAGUAAACAGUCUGUUACACAGUCACUCAGCAGGUCUAGUAAAUAGUCUGUUACACAGUCAAUCAGCAGGUCUAGUAAACAGCCUGUUACACAGUCACUCAGCAGGUCUAGUAAACAGUCUGUUACACAGUCACUCAGCAGGUCUAGUAAACAGUCUGUUACACAGUCACUCAGCAGGUCUAGUAAACAGCCUGUUACACAGUCACUCAGCAGGUCUAGUAAAUAGUCUGUUACACAGUCACUCAGCAGGUCUAGUAAACAGCCUGUUACACAGUCACUCAGCAGGUCUAGUAAACAGCCUGUUACACAGACACUCAGCAGGUCUAGUAAACAGCCUGUUACACAGUCACUCAGCAGGUCUAGUAAACAGUCUGUUACACAGUCACUCAGCAGGUCUAGUAAACAGCCUGUUACACAGUCACUCAGCAGGUCUAGUAAACAGUCUGUUACACAGUCACUCAGCAGGUCUAGUAAACAGUCUGUUACACAGUCACUCAGCAGGUCUAGUAAACAGCCUGUUACACAGUCACUCAGCAGGUCUAGUAAACAGCCUGUUACACAGUCACUCAGCAGGUCUAGUAAACAGUCUGUUACACAGUCACUCAGCAGGUCUAGUAAACAGCCUGUUACACAGUCACUCAGCAGGUCUAGUAAACAGUCUGUUACACAGUCACUCAGCAGGUCUAGUAAACAGUCUGUUACACAGACACUCAGCAGGUCUAGUAAACAGUCUGUUACACAGACACUCAGCAGGUCUAGUAAACAGCCUGUUACACAGUCACUCAGCAGGUCUAGUAAACAGUCUGUUACACAGUCACUCAGCAGGUCUAGUAAACAGCCUGUUACACAGUCACUCAGCAGGUCUAGUAAACAGUCUGUUACACAGUCACUCAGCAGGUCUAGUAAACAGUCUGUUACACAGUCACUCAGCAGGUCUAGUAAACAGCCUGUUACACAGUCACUCAGCAGGUCUAGUAAACAGCCUGUUACACAGUCACUCAGCAGGUCUAGUAAACAGUCUGUUACACAGUCACUCAGCAGGUCUAGUAAACAGCCUGUUACACAGUCACUCAGCAGGUCUAGUAAACAGCCUGUUACACAGUCACUCAGCAGGUCUAGUAAACAGCCUGUUACACAGUCACUCAGCAGGUGGGCAGCAGGUCUAG
ensembl:lncRNA